CAGGUGGAGGGGACCUGGCUCCCCAAGGAGGGUGGGGGUGGAGCCUGAGGCCUGGGUGCCCAGAUGCCUGGUCUAGGGUGGGGACCCCCUUGGUGUUUCCGCUCUCUCUCAAUGCCCAUUCUUUGUGGGUUCCUGGUUCUCUGCGGGUUCUUUCCUGCUGAAGACAAUUCUCUUCCUCUCCCAGUCCCCAAGACUGGGGGGUUAAGCUCAGGGCUCCAGUGGUUUGGGCCUCAGCCUCAUGGGUGGAAUGCGCCUGCCACCCCCAGGCUAGACGAGGGGGCAGAGGGUCAGGGUGGGCAUUCGUUGUGCCGCUUUUGAGCUUUGUGGGCCAGAGCUGGGUGUAGGGCUGGACAAUGAGCCUCCUCUUCCUUGAAAGAAGGAAUUUUGGCUGAGACAAUAGGGCCCUGUCUGUUCUGGCAUGGGGGGUGGUGGCUGACUCAAUUCUGUUCCCCCUAAGCCCUAACAAAUGUCAUGAAGAGAGGGGGGCAGUUUUCCCCUUGGUGCCCUGGGCUGCCCCCCUGCCCCUUUGUGACGACUUGCCCUUCUAGCUUUCCUCAGCUGAUCUUGCUUUUUCUCCCAUAACCUGAACUGCUUUGUUCCCUGCAGCUGGUUCUCUCCCUGCCCCCUAACUCUCCCCUAGUCUGUUUUGGGUUCAAGGGGGUACUGGUGGUGUUACAGAGCUCAUAGCUUCUGAUCUGGGGAGUCCAGAAAUAGGGGCCUCAGAGGGUUGGAAAGAUACUUCUAGGGAGCCCUUUGCUGGGGUGGGGAUGAG
rnacentral:lncRNA from 1 species